AGGAGCUGCCUACUAACAGACUAUUUCUUCAGACAGAACACUUUCCAAUCCUGUCAGGUAUAAAGGGUUAGCCGAGAAUCUAAAGGAACUGCCUCAGCUUGUCUCCCUUCUCCCAAACAACCUUACAAGAAGCAAAACUUGGUAGGAGGGUGUUCUGUCACACGGAUUUUGUUUCCUUUGCUGGGAUAGUCUUGACUGAAAAAAAUAAAAUCACGCUGUUGCCUGCAGGGA